AACGAACGCUGGCGGCAUGCCUAAUACAUGCAAGUCGAACGAUCCCUUCGGGGAUAGUGGCGCACGGGUGCGUAACGCGUGGGAAUCUGCCCUUGGGUUCGGAAUAACUUCUGGAAACGGAAGCUAAUACCGGAUGAUGACGUAAGUCCAAAGAUUUAUCGCCCAAGGAUGAGCCCGCGUAGGAUUAGCUAGUUGGUGAGGUAAAGGCUCACCAAGGCGACGAUCCUUAGCUGGUCUGAGAGGAUGAUCAGCCACACUGGGACUGAGACACGGCCCAGACUCCUACGGGAGGCAGCAGUAGGGAAUAUUGGACAAUGGGGGAAACCCUGAUCCAGCAAUGCCGCGUGAGUGAUGAAGGCCUUAGGGUUGUAAAGCUCUUUUACCCGGGAUGAUAAUGACAGUACCGGGAGAAUAAGCUCCGGCUAACUCCGUGCCAGCAGCCGCCGUAAGAC
rnacentral:rRNA from 1 species